AUUAAACGCUGGCGGCAUGCCUUACACAUGCAAGUCGAACGGUAGCGCGGGGCAACCUGGCGACGAGUGGCGAACGGGUGAGUAAAGCAUCGGAACGUGCCCUGGAAUGGGGGAUAACGUAGCGAAAGUUACGCUAAUACCGCAUAUUCUGUGAGCAGGAAAGCAGGGGAUCGCAAGACCUUGCGUUCUGGGAGCGGCCGAUAUCGGAUUAGCUAGUAGGUGAGGUAAAGGCUCACCUAGGCGACGAUCCGUAGCUGGUCUGAGAGGACGACCAGCCACACUGGAACUGAGACACGGUCCAGACUCCUACGGGAGGCAGCAGUGGGGAAAUUUUGGGACAAUGGGCGCAAGCCUGAUCCAGCCAUGCCGCGUGAGUG
rnacentral:rRNA from 1 species